AACUUUGUUUCUUCUUCCCUCAGUUGUUCUUGUCUUCAUUACAUUCACUCUUCUCACACCUCUUCUUCCCCUCUCUUGAAGUUUCGUUUUUUUUCUCUUCUUUGCCAAAUCCCAAACCACAGGUUGCGCCGGUGAAGGAGGCUAUCGUGGCCAGGUGAAGAGAGGGAGAAUUCGGUAAAGUUAAUAAAAAAGCCCUUUGUUUAAUAAAUCACAAACCUGUAGUUUCGGUAGUAGCUUGGUUUCUGCUGCUUCCUGAGUUUGAUUUCACCUUCUCCUUAGCAACAAUGCCUCAUCAAUUUUUCACUCUAAUCGAACCACCAAACAAAACCCCAACCUCCAAGCCAUUCUCGAGCCUCCAGGCCAAGACCUGGACUUCAUCAGAAAGCAUUUGUGUAUUUUCUUCCAAACAAAGGUAAAUCAUUGACCUCCUCCUCCAACACAAAAUCCCCAAACAUUUGCAUGUCUUCCCUCUUGGAAAAAAGCCAUUGAUCCUUUCCUCUCUGCCUCACACAAAAUUUAAAGUCCCCACUAGGCACCACCUACCACCCCCUCUCUUGGAAAAAAGCCAUUGAUCCUUUGUUAUAUCCUUCCAAGCCCC
rnacentral:lncRNA from 1 species